UGGAUUAACGGUAAAAUUCUUUUUUAAUUUCAAAAAUUGAAGUUAUUUUUGUUAGUGAAGAAACUACAAUAAAAAUUAAGGACAAGAAGACCCUAAGAAUUUUAAAUAAUUUAAAAAAAAAUUUUUUUUUAAAUUAUUUUAAUUGGGGCGAUUAAUAAAAAUAAGAAACUUUAUUUCUCCAAAAAAAUGAACCAUUAAUAAUGGCCAUAUGAAAAAAAUACUCUAGGGAUAACAGCGUAAUAAUUUUAGAUAGUUCUUAUAGACAAAAUAGUUUGCGACCUCGAUGUUGGAUUAGGAUUCUUAUUUAAUGAAGAAGUUAAAAAAAGAAGUUUGUUCAACUUUUAAAAUCCUACAUGAUCUGAGUUC
rnacentral:rRNA from 1 species